GACAGAGGAGCCAAGCGUUGUCCGGAUUGACUGGGCGUAAAGCGCACGCAGGCGGUCGCGCGCGUGGGGUGUGAAAUCUGGCCGCUUAACGGCCAGGCGCCAUCCCAUACGGCGCGACUGGAGCCAUGCAGAGGGCGGUGGAAUUGCCGGUGUAGUGGUGAAAUGCGUAGAGAUCGGCAGGAACACCCAGGGGGAAACCAGCCGCCUGGGCAUGGGCUGACGCUGAGGUGCGAGAGCGUGGGGAGCGAACCGG
rnacentral:rRNA from 1 species